rnacentral:rRNA from 1 species
UGGGGAAUAUUGGACAAUGGGCGAAAGCCUGAUCCAGCCAUGCCGCGUGUGUGAAGAAGGUCUUCGGAUUGUAAAGCACUUUAAGUUGGGAGGAAGGGCAUUAACCUAAUACGUUAGUGUUUUGACGUUACCGACAGAAUAAGCACCGGCUAACUCUGUGCCAGCAGCCGCGGUAAUACAGAGGGUGCAAGCGUUAAUCGGAAUUACUGGGCGUAAAGCGCGCGUAGGUGGUUUGUUAAGUUGGAUGUGAAAUCCCCGGGCUCAACAUGGGAACUGCAUUCAAAACUGACUGACUAGAGUAUGGUAGAGGGUGGUGGAAUUUCCUGUGUAGCGGUGAAAUGCGUAGAUAUAGGAAGGAACACCAGUGGCGAAUGCGACCACCUGGACUAAUACUGACACUGAGGUGCGAAAGCGUGGGGAGCAAACA